AGGCCACUUACAGUAGUGUCAUGCUACAGAGAUUUUGAAACAAACAUUUUUGAUUUUUAUCUCUGUUUCAAAUUUACAUUCACUAGGUGUGUAACAAGCACUUAUAGAGUACCAUGGUGGUUUCUCAUCCAACUAAAUUUCCCAUAACCCCAGUGACUUAAGAAGUAGAGAGGGAAAUGAUGAAUUUUGAUUGUGCAUCUCCUUGGUUCUAGGCAAUGAGAUUUACAUACAUACAGGUAUUUCCUUUAAAAAGAUGAAGAAACUGAGACCCAAAGAAAUGAAGUAACUCGGGCAGAAUUCCCUGGUGGUCCAGUGGUUACGACUCUGCACUUUCGAUGCCAAGGGCUUGAGUUCAAUCCCUAGUUGGGGAACUAAGAUCCUACCAGCCAUGUGGUGCAGCCAAAAAGAAAAAAAAAGGGGGUGGGAGGGGACGGAAUUAAGUAGCUUACUUUAUGUCAUACAUCUUCAAAAUGGCAGAAAGUAAAUCUGAGUCAAGUCUUCUGAUUUUGUCCUAUGCCUACCCCAUAGAACAUAUCUCUGUUUUAGUGUGUUUCAUUGAUUUUCAUUAAAUUUUAAAAUAACUUGGAAUACAUUAAUGCUAGAUUAUAUUUGUUUUCUAUAGAUUAAUAUCAUCUGUGAUUUUAAAGUUGGGGAAGAAUAUAUGAGGUUACAAACAUUUAUACAGAAUAAAAUGUAAGGAAGUAGAGAGUGUAGCUUAAAAAUAAUUGCUAAAGGUUUAUUUUAGAAUAGCCAGAAGGCAUGGGGGACUGGUUUUCAAUUCCAGUUUUGCCAUUGAUUAGCUAUCUAAUCUUAAGAAAUCCUUACUUUUCAUAUCUAUAAAAUGGGCCCAACAUUUGGCUACCUAAACUAUAUGGCAGUGUUUACAUACUCCAAAGGGGUUAGAACCAAUUCACUAGAGGAAAAAAAGGAGUUACAGGUUUAUGACUUGCCAGAAGUCACACAACAAGUUACAAUUAGAAACCACAUUAGAAACCAGAAAACCUGACACUAUCAACUAAUUUCAGGCCUAUCUUUCUCUAAGAGGCACUACACUUUGUUUCCUCCAUGAAACUUUUCUCUAGUCUAUACCAUUUAGAACCCCAGAUAAUAAACUCUGUUUUAUCUUUAAUUGCUUCUUUCAUCUUCUUGCAGAAUGACACCAGCCAGACCACAUCUGAGAAAUCCUCUGUCCUGCAGAAGUGGGUGGGAGCCUGACCCAGCCCUCCAUGUCCUGUUUACCGGCUCAUCCCAGACUCCAUGGACACCCAUUUCAGUGCACGGGUCGUAGACUUUACUCCAAAUUCCAAGAAGAUCCUGGUCAUGGUAUCCUGUAAGUUUUGGCAAGACUUCUAUAAAAUCCUGAGACACACACAGAGGAUGUAGCCUCUUCUGGAAUUCUUCUGAUAUCAAAGUCUCACUCUGAAGUUCUUGAAAACGAGGGCAGUUCCUGAAAGGUAGGUAUAGCAACUGAGGAAAAAGAGAAAUCAUAAGUCUUUUAUUAGUUGAAAGAACUAAAGAAGCUGCAGCCAUUAGAUAUAAAGUGACUUGAAUAAAAUAUUCAAAUGUGUUUUGAGCUGAAUGGAAUUCUAAAAUUGAGGGAAAAGAUAAAUGAUCUGCAGGUCUUAAAUAAUAGUUACCCAAAACUCAAAAGCGCUUUUGUCCCUUUCAUAAACUUGCCUAAAUAAGACUGUGUUAUUGGUAAAUAGUCUCACUUCUGGUUUCUCUGUGAGAUGGUAACUGUUAUCUUGCUUCCUUCCAAAUCUCUUUCAUUUCUAGCACUAGAGACACAUCUGUGUCCAUGCACUCUCUCUCUCUCUCUUUCAUACACACACACACACACACACACACACGAGUAUAGAGAAAUGAAUUAGAAGUGCCAGAAAGAAUCUUAAGAGAUUGAUUAAUCAUUCACUGAAGUAAGUUCUUGCAAAUUUGCAAACUGUUAAAACAAGGGCACAUACUAAAAACAUAGAAAAUAUAUUUCAAAAUCUAUUAUGAGGACAAAGUGAUCAUCCCUUUAAAGUGAGUUUAAAUCUGACAAUCCUUUCUAUUUUUAACUAUAAUCUAUAGGCUGGUAACUUCCAAGUUCAUUUCAUUG